rnacentral:rRNA from 1 species
GGUUAAGUUAGAAAGGGCGCACGGUGGAUGCCUUGACACUAGGAGUCGAUGAAGGACGGGACUAACGCCGAUAUGCUUCGGGGAGCUGUAAGUAAGCUUUGAUCCGAAGAUUUCCGAAUGGGGAAACCCACCAUACGUAAUGGUAUGGUAUCCUUAUCUGAAUACAUAGGGUAAGGAAGACAGACCCAGGGAACUGAAACAUCUAAGUACCUGGAGGAAGAGAAAGCAAAUGCGAUUUCCUGAGUAGCGGCGAGCGAAACGGAACAUAGCCCAAACCAAGAGGCUUGCCUCUUGGGGUUGUAGGACAUUCUAUACGGAGUUACAAAGGAACGAGGUAGACGAAGCGACCUGGAAAGGUCCGUCGUAGAGGGUAACAACCCCGUAGUCGAAACUUCGUUCUCUCUUGAAUGUAUCCUGAGUACGGCGGAACACGUGAAAUUCCGUCGGAAUCUGGGAGGACCAUCUCCCAAGGCUAAAUACUCCCUAGUGAUCGAUAGUGAACCAGUACCGUGAGGGAAAGGUGAAAAGCACCCCGGAAGGGGAGUGAAAGAGAUCCUGAAACCGUGUGCCUACAAAUAGUCAGAGCCCGUUAACGGGUGAUGGCGUGCCUUUUGUAGAAUGAACCGGCGAGUUACGAUCCCGUGCGAGGUUAAGCUGAAGAGGCGGAGCCGCAGCGAAAGCGAGUCUGAAUAGGGCGUUUAGUACGUGGUCGUAGACCCGAAACCAGGUGAUCUACCCAUGUCCAGGGUGAAGUUCAGGUAACACUGAAUGGAGGCCCGAACCCACGCACGUUGAAAAGUGCGGGGAUGAGGUGUGGGUAGCGGAGAAAUUCCAAUCGAACCUGGAGAUAGCUGGUUCUCCCCGAAAUAGCUUUAGGGCUAGCCUUAAGUGUAAGAGUCUUGGAGGUAGAGCACUGAUUGGACUAGGGGUCCUCAUCGGAUUACCGAAUUCAGUCAAACUCCGAAUGCCAAUGACUUAUCCUUAGGAGUCAGACUGCGAGUGAUAAGAUCCGUAGUCAAAAGGGAAACAGCCCAGACCGCCAGCUAAGGUCCCAAAGUGUGUAUUAAGUGGAAAAGGAUGUGGAGUUGCUUAGACAACUAGGAUGUUGGCUUAGAAGCAGCCACCAUUUAAAGAGUGCGUAAUAGCUCACUAGUCGAGUGACUCUGCGCCGAAAAUGUACCGGGGCUAAAUACACCACCGAAGCUGCGGAUUGAUACCAAUGGUAUCAGUGGUAGGGAGCGUUCUAAGGACAGUGAAGUCAGACCGUAAGGACUGGUGGAGUGCUUAGAAGUGAGAAUGCCGGUAUGAGUAGCGAAAGACGGGUGAGAAUCCCGUCCACCGAAUGCCUAAGGUUUCCUGAGGAAGGCUCGUCCGCUCAGGGUUAGUCAGGACCUAAGCCGAGGCCGACAGGCGUAGGCGAUGGACAACAGGUUGAUAUUCCUGUACCACCUCUUUAUCGUUUGAGCAAUGGAGGGACGCAGAAGGAUAGAAGAAGCGUGCGAUUGGUUGUGCACGUCCAAGCAGUUAGGCUGAUAAGUAGGCAAAUCCGCUUAUCAUAAAGGCUGAGCUGUGAUGGGGAAGCUCCUUAUGGAGCGAAGUCUUUGAUUCCCCGCUGCCAAGAAAAGCUUCUAGCGAGAUAAAAGGUGCCUGUACCGCAAACCGACACAGGUAGGCGAGGAGAGAAUCCUAAGGUGUGCGAGAGAACUCUGGUUAAGGAACUCGGCAAAAUGACCCCGUAACUUCGGGAGAAGGGGUGCUUUCUUAACGGAAAGCCGCAGUGAAUAGGCCCAAGCGACUGUUUAGCAAAAACACAGCUCUCUGCGAAGCCGUAAGGCGAAGUAUAGGGGGUGACACCUGCCCGGUGCUGGAAGGUUAAGGAGAGGGGUUAGCGUAAGCGAAGCUCUGAACUGAAGCCCCAGUAAACGGCGGCCGUAACUAUAACGGUCCUAAGGUAGCGAAAUUCCUUGUCGGGUAAGUUCCGACCCGCACGAAAGGUGUAACGAUUUGGGCACUGUCUCAACCAGAGACUCGGUGAAAUUAUAGUACCUGUGAAGAUGCAGGUUACCCGCGACAGGACGGAAAGACCCCGUGGAGCUUUACUGUAGCCUGAUAUUGAAUUUUGGUACAGUUUGUACAGGAUAGGCGGGAGCCAUUGAAACCGGAGCGCUAGCUUCGGUGGAGGCGCUGGUGGGAUACCGCCCUGACUGUAUUGAAAUUCUAACCUACGGGUCUUAUCGACCCGGGAGACAGUGUCAGGUGGGCAGUUUGACUGGGGCGGUCGCCUCCUAAAGUGUAACGGAGGCGCCCAAAGGUUCCCUCAGAAUGGUUGGAAAUCAUUCGUAGAGUGCAAAGGCAUAAGGGAGCUUGACUGCGAGACCUACAAGUCGAGCAGGGACGAAAGUCGGGCUUAGUGAUCCGGUGGUUCCGCAUGGAAGGGCCAUCGCUCAACGGAUAAAAGCUACCCCGGGGAUAACAGGCUUAUCUCCCCAAGAGUCCACAUCGACGGGGAGGUUUGGCACCUCGAUGUCGGCUCAUCGCAUCCUGGGGCUGUAGUCGGUCCCAAGGGUUGGGCUGUUCGCCCAUUAAAGCGGUACGCGAGCUGGGUUCAGAACGUCGUGAGACAGUUCGGUCCCUAUCCGUCGUGGGCGUAGGAAAUUUGAGAGGAGCUGUCCUUAGUACGAGAGGACCGGGAUGGACGCACCGCUGGUGUACCAGUUGUUCUGCCAAGGGCAUAGCUGGGUAGCUAUGUGCGGAAGGGAUAAGUGCUGAAAGCAUCUAAGCAUGAAGCCCCCCUCAAGAUGAGAUUUCCCAUAGCGUAAGCUAGUAAGAUCCCUGAAAGAUGAUCAGGUUGAUAGGUUCGAGGUGGAAGCAUGGUGACAUGUGGAGCUGACGAAUACUAAUAGAUCGAGGACUUAACCAU